rfam:Daucus carota subsp. sativus cultivar DH1 chromosome 1, whole genome shotgun sequence.
GCCUUUUUAAUUCAGCGGUGGAGUAACGCGAUGGUAAGGCGUAAGUCAUCAGUUUAAAUCUGAUAAAGGGCU